rnacentral:rRNA from 1 species
AUGUCUACCAGCUCCUCCCACUCUCCCUCCGCCUCGCCUCCCCUCAUGCGCGACGACGAUGGCUCGGCCAUUGCAAACCUCUCCGCCGGCCUGUCUUCUGGUGAGCGGCCACGCGCAUCGCUCUCCCCUGAUCUCCCUGCAUCUGGCGAUCUUCCCCUAGCUUCCCACCCACCCAACACUGCCUCUCUCCCUGUGCCACCGCCCCCGGCUGCGCCCUCCACUCCCAUACCAGCCAGCAUCAUCGGCGUCCUGGAUUUCAAGCUGGCUCUUGACGACAGCAACUUCACCCGCUGGCGUAACUAUGUCACCCUCGUGCUCGCGCGGUACCAUGCGGAGGACCAUAUCCGCGUCGGCGCGGAUCGCCGUCUCGCCGACCCUGCUUGGCGGGACGACGACAACACCCUCGUCUUGCUGUUCUUCUCCACCAUCGACGGCGACCUCCUCGACAUCAUCGCUCCCGCCGGCUCCACUGCCUUCACCAUCUGGAGCCGCUUACACGAGUACUUCCUCGCCAAUGAGGCUGAACACACCAUGCACCUGGGACAGGAGUUCCGCCGCUGCGAGCGUGGUGAUCUCUCCAUCAACGACUACUGCCGUCGUCUGCAAGGGAUCGCCGCCUCCCUCGCUGAUGUCAAGGAGCCGGUUACGGAUCGGGCCCUCACGUUGCAGAUGCUCGAUGGUCUCGGGCCCAAGUUCGCUAUGCAGGCCGCCAUCCUCCAGGCCACCAUGCCGCUGCCCUCCUUCAACCAGGCGCUCUCUCGCCUCGUCCUCGCCGAGCUGACCCUGGACAAGCGCGCUCCCGCCGAGGGCGCCCAAGUCCCCACCGUCCAGCACGACGACCGCGGCGGCCACGGCGGCAACGGCGGUGGCGGCGGCAACGGCGGCAGCGGUGGUGGCCGCGCGGGACAGCUCGGCACCAACCGCAACGGUGGGCGCGGCGGGCGCGGACGCGGCCGUGGCCGUGGCCGCGGUGACACAGCCGGUGGGCGCGGCGCUGGAGGCCAGCCCUGGCUCGGCUACUUCGCGCCGAUGGGGAUGCCCUUCCCUCCGCCGUGCGCCCCCUAG